UGUGUCAGCCAGAUCAACACGAAGAAGCCAUCCACAUUUUGCCUCUCAUCAGAUACUGUAUACAUAAACAGAGAAUGAAAUUUAAAGACAGCAAAAAUAAAUGAAGAUUUAGAAAUGAAUGGAGGCAAGAACAGCAGCAAAGGAAUGACGAUUUAGCCAAGUUUCCGAAGCAAAAUUUAUUUCUUUUAAUGCAAAUAGUGAUGUAAAUUUUUUAUUUUUUAUUUUCAUUGCAUAUAUGUAAAUAACUUAAGAAAGUAGUGAGAAAACAGGAAAACAAAAACUGA